rnacentral:rRNA from 1 species
CCGGCCUGAGAGGGUGACCGGCCACACUGGGACUGAGACACGGCCCCAGACYCCUACGGGAGGCAGCAGUGGGGAAUAUUGCACAAUGGGCGCAAGCCUGAUGCAGCGACSCCGCGUGAGGGAUGACGGCCUUCGGGKUUGUAAACCUCUUUCAGUAGGGAARAAGCGAAAGUGACGGUACCUGCAGAARAAGCGCCGGCUAACUACGUGCCAGCAGCCGCGGUAAUACGUAGGGCGCAAGCGUUAUCCGGAAUUAUUGGGCGUAAAGAGCUCGUAGGCGGUUUGUCGCGUCUGCCGUGAAAGUCCGGGGCUCAACUCCGGAUCUGCGGUGGGUACGGGCAGACUAGAGUGAUGUAGGGGAGACUGGAAUUCCUGGUGUAGCGGUGAAAUGCGCAGAUAUCAGGAGGAACACCGAUGGCGAAGGCAGGUCUCUGGGCAUUAACUGACGCUGAGGAGCGAAAGCAUGGGGAGCGAACAGGAUUAGAUACCCUGGUAGUCCAUGCCGUAAACGUUGGGCACUAGGUGUGGGGGACAUUCCACGUUUUCCGCGCCGUAGCUAACGCAUUAAGUGCCCCGCCUGGGGAGUACGGCCGCAAGGCUAAAACUCAAAGGAAUUGACGGGGGCCCGCACAAGCGGCGGAGCAUGCGGAUUAAUUCGAUGCAACGCGAAGAACCUUACCAAGGCUUGACAUGAACCGGAAAGACCUGGAAACAGGUGCCCCGCUUGCGGUCGGUUUACAGGUGGUGCAUGGUUGUCGUCAGCUCGUGUCGUGAGAUGUUGGGUUAAGUCCCGCAACGAGCGCAACCCUCGUUCUAUGUUGCCAGCACGUGAUGGUGGGGACUCAUAGGAGACUGCCGGGGUCAACUCGGAGGAAGGUGGGGACGACGUC